AUUGAACGCUGGCGGCAUGCCUUACACAUGCAAGUCGAACGGCAGCACGGGAGCAAUCCUGGUGGCGAGUGGCGAACGGGUGAGUAAUAUAUCGGAACGUGCCCGGUCGUGGGGAUAACGUAGCGAAAGCUACGCUAAUACCGCAUACGAUCUACGGAUGAAAGCGGGGGAUCGCAAGACCUCGCGCGAUUGGAGCGGCCGAUAUCAGAUUAGGUAGUUGGUGAGGUAAAGGCUCACCAAGCCGACGAUCUGUAGCUGGUCUGAGAGGACGACCAGCCACACUGGGACUGAGACACGGCCCAGACUCCUACGGGAGGCAGCAGUGGGAAUUUUGGACAAUGGGCGCAAGCCUGAUCCAGCAAUGCCGCGUGCAGGAUGAAGGCCUC
rnacentral:rRNA from 1 species